ACAGUACAACCUGAUCAGGCGGUAAACCGUUUACGCGGUUUUUGCAGCCGGGCCCUCACGGGCAGCAGACAGUAAAUGCAACGUCUGCGGGACAGU
rnacentral:ncRNA from 1 species